rnacentral:rRNA from 1 species
UACGGAGGGAGCUAGCGUUGUUCGGAACUACUGGGCGUAAAGCGCACGUAGGCGGCGCAGCAAGUCAGGGGUGAAAUCCCGGGGCUCAACCUCGGAACUGCCCUUGAAACUGCAGUGCUAGAAUCUUGGAGAGGCGAGUGGAAUUCCGAGUGUAGAGGUGAAAUUCGUAGAUAUUCGGAAGAACACCAGUGGCGAAGGCGACUCGCUGGACAAGUAUUGACGCUGAGGUGCGAAAGCGUGGGGAGCAAACAGG